UACGUAGGCAGCAAGCGUUGUUCGGAGUUACUGGGCGUAAAGGGUGCGUAGGCGGCAUGAUAAGUUAUUGGCGGCAAAUCGAGGCUCAACCUCGUGGAAACUGAUAAUACUGUUUUGCUUGAGUACAGAAGAGGUUAACGGAACUCCAUGUGGAGCGGUAAAAUGUGUAGAUAUAUGGAAGAACAUCAAUAACGGCGAAGGCAGUUAACUAUUCUGUUACUGACGUUGAGGCACGAAAGCGUGGGGAGCAAAAAGG
rnacentral:rRNA from 1 species